rnacentral:rRNA from 1 species
CCUACGGGAGGCAGCAGUGGGGGAUAUUGCACAAUGGGGGAAACCCUGAUGCAGCGACGCCGCGUGGGUGAAGAAGUAUUUCGGUAUGUAAAGCCCUAUCAGCAGGGAAGAAAGAAGACGGUACCUGACUAAGAAGCCCCGGCUAACUACGUGCCAGCAGCCGCGGUAAUACGUAGGGGGCGAGCGUUAUCCGGAUUCACUGGGUGUAAAGGGAGCGUAGACGGCCGUGCAAGCCAGGAGUGAAAGCCCGGGGCCCAACCCCGGGACUGCUCUUGGAACUGUGCGGCUGGAGUGCGGGAGGGGCAGGCGGAAUGCCUGGUGUAGCGGUGAAAUGCGUAGAUAUCAGGAGGAACACCGGCGGCGAAGGCGGCCUGCUGGACCGCGACUGACGUCGAGGCUCGAAAGCGUGGGGAGCGAACAGGAUUAGAUACCCCAGUAGUC